rnacentral:rRNA from 1 species
GGCAUCCUACGGGAGGCAGCAGUGAGGAAUAUUGGUCAAUGGGCGGGAGCCUGAACCAGCCACGUCGCGUGAGGGAAGACGGUCCUAUGGAUUGUAAACCUCUUUAGGCGGGGAGCAAUGCCGGGCACGCGUGUCCGGAGGGAGAGUACCCGCAGAAUAAGCAUCGGCUAACUCCGUGCCAGCAGCCGCGGUAAUACGGAGGAUGCGAGCGUUAUCCGGAUUUAUUGGGUUUAAAGGGUGCGUAGGCGGAUUUUUAAGUCAGCGGUAACAUGUCCGGGCUCAACACGGGCCG